rnacentral:rRNA from 1 species
GACGAACCGUGCGAACGUUGUUCGGAAUCACUGGGCUUAAAGGGCGCGUAGGCGGCCCGCCGCGUCCGGGGUGAAAUCCUCCCGCUCAACGGGAGAACGGCCUCGGAUACGGGCGGGCUGGAGGCGGGUAGGGGCGGGCGGAACUGUGGGUGGAGCGGUGAAAUGCGUUGAUAUCCACAGGAACUCCGGUGGCGAAGGCGGCCCGCUGGACCCGAUCUGACGCUGAGGCGCGAAAGCCAGGGGAGCGAACAGG